rnacentral:rRNA from 1 species
UACGUAGGGGGCAAGCGUUGUCCGGAUUUAUUGGGCGUAAAGAGUGCGUAGGCGGCGCGGUAAGUCGGGUGUGAAAUCUCGGAGCUUAACUCCGAAACUGCAUUCGAUACUGCCGUGCUUGAGGACUGGAGAGGAGACUGGAAUUUACGGUGUAGCGGUGAAAUGCGUAGAUAUCGUAAGGAAGACCAGUGGCGAAGGCGGGUCUCUGGACAGUUCCUGACGCUGAGGCACGAAGGUCAGGGGAGCAAACGGG